GUGGAUCUUGCUUGAUUGGCAGGAAAGAUUGGCCCUGAUCUACAUAAGUGGUGGAUCUGCUAAAGAAGGUCAACAAAUGUGUCUGAAAAGAUUAUUUGGAGCAUCUGCCUUACAACUCCAUGCAUAUCAGCUGGAACUUUAGAAACAGCAAUGUAUCAGAAGGAGUGUGGCAAUAUAUACCUGUGAUGUACCCUGUAGUCAGAGCAGCUGAUAUAGGAAAUGGAUCAACACCUCUUUACCACUCAGAAUCAAGAACUCAGCAGUGCUUAAAACCUACAGGGAAGAGGUACAGCAUCUGGCCACAUGGUGUACCGAAAACAACCUGCUCCUUAACACUAGCAAAACAAAGAAGCUCAUCAUGGACUUCAGGAGGGAGAGAAGAGGCACGCACACCCCUAUCCACAUCUCAGAGGACCUGUCAUGGACCACCAACACCUCCAGCCUGGUCAAGAAAUCUCACCAGCGCCUGUUCUUUCUGAGGAGAAGAGACAUCUUCAGCCAUGGUCUUCAGCCAUCCUGGUGAACUUUUAUAGCUGUGUGAUUGAGAGCAUCCUGAUCAACUGUGUCACAGUCUGGAAUGGGAACUGCACAGCCGCAGACUGCAUGGCAAUGUAAAGGGUGGUGAAAACUGCUCAGUGCAUCACAGGAAGUCUACUUUAAGCUAUUAAGGACGUCUAAAGGAAACAUUUAAAGACUGAGGAAGAGCUUUUCCUAAGGGCUGUCACCUUACUCAAUGAUAAUCACCCACCCCUGUAUAUUAUAUCAGUAUAAUAUAUAAUAUAUAACAUAUAACAUAUAUAUUACAUGUCUAUAGCACCCAAUCUGUAUAUCUUGUAUAUCCAUACCUAUAAAUCCAUAGCAUAUUCAUCUGUAUAUAAUUCUGUUCAUACUGUAAAUACUGUAAUCAUACUUUAAAUACUGUACUGUUUAAAUCUUGCACUUAUUGCACUUCUAGUUAGAUGCCAAACUGCAUUUUGUUGCCUUGUACUUGUACAUGGCAAAAAAUUUGAAUGUAAUAUAAUCUAAUGCGGCAGCAAACAGGUCCAUUCACAUCAAAUA